UCUACCUAUUCAAAACCACAGUAAGGUCACUUACUUGCUGUAUAAUACUGUAAUUUAGCAAAAACGUUAGUGUCCAGUGUUCCUAUGUUCACAUUAAAAGGGCAGUUUUACACUGUCAACAUAAACUCUUAUAGAAGUAAAUUAAAGUUGCAGAAACAACAUAGCAUGGCAUGGCUUAUUAAAGAGGAGAUAGCUGGCAAAAAUUAACAUCUCCUAUCCAUAGGAUAGAGGUCAAUUAGCUAAUUACAGGGGGGUCUGAGUGCUGGGAACCCCCCCCCCCUGGGAAUUUAUUACAGACAGACAAACCUUGCUGCCAUGGAAACACACCGGAAUCGCAAAAAUCGCACUAGACUGAUUAACUUAUGACGUAUCAUUACAUCCCACUGCAGUAAGAAUGCAACACUUAAGAUAACAGUAGUAAGCAGGUACAAGGAACCUUUCUGCAGCCCACCCUCCAUAGACAGCAAUGCAUUUCCAAGCUGAUUCUGACGUAAGAAUGAACAUGGUGGGAACCGGAAUUUCCGCCGUGUGGAUGGUGCAGCAGUAUCCCCUUGAAAAAUAAAAAUAUUUUCAGUUCGAAACGAGAAAUGUGGAAGUUACCUGCAAAGAGAAGAGAGGACAUGUUCGUGGAAAGGACUAUGCUCAGUUCGUAGCAGAGAGACCAGCUGCUGGAUCAUUCCCAUGGAACACA